rnacentral:rRNA from 1 species
GACGAACCGUGCGAACGUUAUUCGGAAUCACUGGGCUUAAAGCGCGUGUAGGCGGGAGGGCACGUCCGUCGCUGAAAUCCCCCGGCUCAACCGGGGAACGGGCGCGGAUACGACCUUCCUGGAGGGGCGUAGGGGGACCUGGAACUUCCGGUGGAGCGGUGAAAUGCGUUGAGAUCGGAAGGAACGCCCGUGGCGAAAGCGAGGUCCUGGACGCCUACUGACGCUGAGACGCGAAAGCCAGGGGAGCCGAACGGGG